rnacentral:rRNA from 1 species
GACGGAGGGUGCUAGCGUUGUUCGGAAUCACUGGGCGUAAAGGGUGCGCAGGCGGCUAUGUGUGUGAGGCGUGAAAGCCCGGGGCUUAACCCCGGAAUUGCACCUCAAACUACAUGGCUAGAGCAUUGGAGAGGGUAGCGGAAUUCACGGUGUAGCAGUGAAAUGCGUAGAUAUCGUGAGGAACACCAGAGGCGAAGGCGGCUACCUGGACAAUUGCUGACGCUCAGGCACGAAAGCGUGGGGAGCAAAAGGG